rnacentral:miRNA from 1 species
AUUGGCAUUUCUUAGAGUGAA